CUCCCCUCAGGGUGCACUUGGAGAGUUUUCAGUACUCUACCAGUCUUGAAUUCAGGAGGGAGAGUCAAGCAGAGGCAUACCCAUUCCAUUCCUAGCUUGGCCAAUGGCUAGCGAGUGGAAGGCAAUCUGCUACAAGU